CGACCGGCGCACGGGUGAGUAACACGGUAUGCAACCUGGCCGUGACAGAUGGAUAACCGGGAGAAAUCCCGCCUAAUACAACAUAAUGCCGGGAGGGGACAUCCCCUGCCGGCCAAAGGGGGCGACCCCGGUCACGGAUGGGCAUGCGGCGCAUUAGGUAGUUGGUGGGGCAACGGCCCACCAAGCCGACGAUGCGUAGGGGUUCUGAGAGGAAGGUCCCCCACAUUGGAACUGAGACACGGCCCAGACUCCUACGGGAGGCAGCAG
rnacentral:rRNA from 1 species